GUUGUUUCAAUAUGAAAUCUUAUGUUGUUAUAAUGUGAAUAAUUGUUAUUUCAAACUAAGCUUUUAGGUUGUUUCUACAAACGGCUGGUUUGAUUUUACUAAAAAUUAGGUUAUUUGUUUCUCUAGAUGUCAAAAUAGAAUAAUGGGUUGGUUCGACCUAAAUUGUACGUUGAAUCAAACUAAGAUUUUAUUUGGAUUAGAAACAACCAAAAUUUCAGUUUGAAACUAACCAACUUCAUGUGUUGUUUCUGCGAAAGGAAAACUGGUCAACUCAAAUAUUUUAAGUAACUGCAAUUUGUUCCCAGUGAUAAGCAUUUCAACUGGAGUUGCUUGUGAAGAUCCUAUAACGAACGAGAAAUGCUGCGGCUAACCCUUCAUUUUUCUGUUGAAUUCCGAAGCAGAAUGAUUGGAGAAAGUAUGCGUCAUGGUAGAAAAUUUCCAGAAGAUAAGGGCGUGCAGUUUUCGAAAGCAAGAGCCUGGUGUUUCAGGAAUUAUGAUAUGUAAUAAUUAUCUUUGAAGACAUCUAUUUUACGAAACCUAAAUAAAUAAUAUAA